UUCCCACAUGUCAUGGGAGGAACCCAGUGGGAGGUGAUUGAAUCAUGGAGGCAGGUCUUUCCCAUGCUACUCUUGUGAUAAUGACUACAUCUCACGAGAUCUGAUUAUAUAAGGGGGAGUUGCCGGGCACAAGUUCUCUUCUCUUGUCUGCUGCCAUGUGAGACAUACCUUUCACCUUCCGCCAUGAUUGUGAGGCCUCUCCAGCCACGUGGAACUCAGGUUUCAGUCCUUGAGGAGCGCUCACUAGGAUGGUAAUUGUUUGAUCGAUAGAUUAAGUGAGUUGGAAGACUCUCCAAGUGAAAAUUUAAAAUUACUGCAGUUUUGGCCUGAUGAUGUUAACCAGCAAGAACAGAAUCUGAAACCAGAUGAGCUGUUAGUACUGCUUUCAUCUGUUUUACAGCCACAGCGACAGCAGUUCCCUGGCUUCUGGAAGGAGUGUCGGUCUAUCCAAAAAAUGUACUAACAGAUAUGUAAAGUCUGUCAUCCAUUUGCAGCAAAUUUUGCCUACGGUAUGAAAUAGGAGUUCAAUUUGACAUUGAAUAUUGAUAUCUUAGCAAUAUUAUCUCCCAAUCUGUGAACACGAAAUUUCUUUAUAUUUAUUCAAAUUAUCUUUGGUUUUUAAUGAUGUUAAAUCCAAGUAUUCUUUGUGAUGCUGUUGUAAAUGGAAUUUUUUGUGUUGUUCAUUGCUAAUGUAUAAAAACCAAUGAUGUUUGUAUAUUAAUCUUGUAUCCUGCAACCUCAUUGAACUAGUUUAUUAGCUCUAGUAAUAUGUUGGUGUGAAUCCCUUAAUAUUUUCUACAUACAAGAUCAUGUCAUCUGCAAAUUGUUUUACUUCUUCCUUUCCAAUUUGGAUGCUUUUUAUUUCAUCUUGCCUACUGCUUUGGCUACAACCUCCAGUACAAGAUUGAAUAGAAGUGAUGAGACAGAACAUCCUUGUCUUAUUUGUGAUCUCUGGGGGGGAAGGCUUACAGUAUUUUGCAUCAACAUAUCAGCUACGGGUUUUUCAUAGAUGUCCUUUCUCAGGAUGAAAAAGUCCAUGUUUGGCUUUUUGAAUGUUUUCAUCUAAGAGUUUUGGAUUUUGCCAAAUGUUAAAUGCUUCUUCUGUAUGCAUUGAGAUGAUCUUGUUGUUUUUGUCCUUUAUUCUAAUAAUAUGGUGUACUACAUUGAUUUCUGUAUGUUGAAGUUUGUAUUCCUAAGAUAAAUCUCACUUGCUUAUGGUGUACAUUCCUUUCUAUAUGUUGCUGGAUUUACUUUCAUUAGUAUUUUGUUGAGGAUUUUUGCCUCUAUAUUGAGGGCUAUUGGCCUGUAGUUGUUUUCUUUGCCUGAUUUCUAAUGUGGGUGAUACUGAAUUGGGAAGGGUAUCCUCCUUCUCUGUUUUUUGGUGUUUGUGAAUAAUUGGUGGUAUUCUGUAAAUGUUUGACAGAAUUCACCAGUGAAGACAUCUGCUCCUGGACUUUUUCCCGUGGGAAGUUUGUUUUUAAGAGAUGGGAGUCUCACUCUCACCCAGGCUGG
rnacentral:lncRNA from 1 species